AUUGAACGCUGGCGGCAUGCCUUACACAUGCAAGUCGAACGGCAGCACGGGAGCAAUCCUGGUGGCGAGUGGCGAACGGGUGAGUAAUAGUAUCGGAACGUGCCCAGUCGUGGGGAUAACGUAGCGAAAGCUACGCUAAUACCGCAUACGAUCUAUGGAUGAAAGCGGGGGAUCGCAAGACCUCGCGCGAUUGGAGCGGCCGAUAUCAGAUUAGGUAGUUGGUGAGGUAAAGGCGUCACCAAGCCGACGAUCUGUAGCUGGUCUGAGAGGACGACCAGCCACACUGGGACUGAGACACGGCCCAGACUCCUACGGGAGGCAGCAGUGGGGAAUUUUGGACAAUGGGCGCAAGCCUGAUCCAGCAAUGCCGCGUGCAGGAUGAAGGCCUU
rnacentral:rRNA from 1 species